UACGGGGGGGGCAAGCGUUGUUCGGAAUUACUGGGCGUAAAGGGCUCGUAGGCGGCCAACUAAGUCAGACGUGAAAUCCCUCGGCUUAACCGGGGAACUGCGUCUGAUACUGGAUGGCUAGAGGUUGGGAGAGGGAUGCGGAAUUCCAGGUGUAGCGGUGAAAUGCGUAGAUAUCUGGAGGAACACCGGUGGCGAAGGCGGCGUCCUGGACCAACACUGACACUGAGGAGCGAAAGCCAGGGGAGCAAACGGG
rnacentral:rRNA from 1 species